rnacentral:rRNA from 1 species
AAAUUGAAGAGUUUGAUCAUGGCUCAGAUUGAACGCUGGCGGCAGGCCUAACACAUGCAAGUCGAACGGUAGCACAGAGGAGCUUGCUCCUUGGGUGACGAGUGGCGGACGGGUGAGUAAUGUCUGGGAAACUGC